CCCUUUUCCUGUUCUUCUUCUUCCUCUAUUCUCUUCACGUUUUGCUUUCUCUUUUUUUUUUUUUCUUCUUCUGGCAGGGACGCGAUCCCGUGACCACGGCGCCGAUUGAACCCGAGCCUGACCUCCCUCUGCACACGCCAACGUCUUCCUCUACACACGCUAACGGAAUCGUGCACGCGCUCUCUCUCUCUCUCUCUCUCUCGGCUCUUUUGGAGAAAAACCCGCGGCUCAGGAUUUGGAAAACGGACGAACGAAAAAUCCCGGAGCUGGCCGAUUCUCUCAAGGAAAAGAAAUCUCCAGCUCACGAACAAAAAGAGGCUCAGCUGGCUUAUUCUUGGGGGGGGGACCAAAAAAAAAAAGACUCUCAGCUCAAAAAAAUGCGCUGGAAAACCCGGAACUCGGACCGGGGCGGCGGCCGAAAUCCCUCAGCUCAUCCACAGACACACACGGCCCGCAGCUCGCCUUUUAUUUUUCGGACUCCGAGCUCAUUCCGGUCCGGACGCUCCCAGCUCCAGACCUCUCCCCUCGACCGCAGCUCUCCCGAACCCCCAGCUCACCCACAACCCUCGGCUCCCACACCGACUCCCCCCUCAGCUCGUCCGGACACCGCCCAGCCCGAAACUCACUCACUUUCCCUCGGCUGGACCUGCGACCAUCAGCUCCACGACGCCCUCAGCUCGGCCGCCAAACCGUCUCCCCUCUCCCUCUGAGUUUCGUGUUCUGCUAACCGGGUCAAUUUCUUUUCUUUCGGGUUAAACAGGUGAGUCGCCCAACAGCCCAACUAGCGGCCUGGUCCAGCAGCGCCGGUCCAGUCCAGCAGCGGACGGCCCAAUCCAGCAAUGCCUCAGCCCGCCAGCAGCGGCCCCAGCCCGCGUCCAGCUCAGUUCGGCCCACUCGGCCCAUUCCGGCCCAGUCCACCCCACCGGAUCUCGGCCCGUCACAGCCCGGCCCAACUCGUCCAGCAUAUAUUUUUUUAAUUUACAGAAUCACCCCUCAACUUCCCGAACUAGAGAUAGCGCGCUCGGUCUCCUUUCCACACCUCGACAGGGUCACGCCACCACUCGAGGAAAUCAGUCAUAUAUGGGCUUAUUUGCGCCAAGUCGACCGCGAUUACAUCAAGACUUUUGUUGGGGAUAUACCAAUGCUAGCCAUCCGCCGAGUGAAUUGGAACUUCUUGGGAGCAGAGGUGACGUUUUGGGACCCAGCCCACGCCGUCUUUAACAUCCAAGGUAUCGAGCUCACACCUACCAUCGAGAAAUAUCGCACUCUCGUCGGAAGAAUUGUAGUCACCCGCGGAAUUGUGGAACCUAACUUUCACAACACCCGACUUGUUUUGGUAUCGCGCCUACUCGGGGUGCAUGGGUCUCGGCUACAAGCCGAACUUGCAUAUUCCGGUGGCACAGAGAUAGUCACCGCGAAACUCCUCCGUUUUAUUGAAAUGCAAACGCGCGAGGUUCAAGGGGAUCUUUUACAAAAGAAUUUAUGUCAUGCGAUCUUAUUCUUAA